ensembl:snRNA U5 U5 spliceosomal RNA
CUACUUUGGUUUCUCUUCAGAUCGUAUAAAUCUUUCGCCUUUUACUAAAGAUUUCUGUGGAGAGGAACAUUCAGGAGUUUGUAACCAAUUGUUGAGGCCUAGCAGCAAUAGAUCA